AGACAUUAAAUGAAGCUGUUCAUUUCAGUUUGCAGAAAAAAUCCUGUCAAAAGAGGUUGUGGAUUUUCCUGUUUCCAGAGAGGCGGUCCACAGCAUGAGGUUGGAAAUUGCUGUGAGACUAAUCCUUAACAGUGAGGACCUAAAAGACUUGUGUCACUUCUGUGGAGAGAUGGAAAGUGACACGGAUGUGAACUGGGUAGGAAAGUUUUUAGAAUUAUUCAAAGACUUAGUGUUAGUAAACUAAAUGAAGAGGACAAGUUUUAUCUAAUCUUAUCUUGCGUAAACAAGCUAUGAUAUGAUCCUCCAACAGUUGGAAUAUAAAGGAAUCUAAAAUGAUUGAUUAUAUAUUGUAAUUGUAAAGACAUAUUUUUCUAAAAAAAACCUGAUAUUUUUGGUUUCUUUCCUAGAUCCAGUGUGACGUGUGUCUGAGGUGGUUCCAUCAUGCAUGUGUGGGAAGCCCACCAACUGAAAAAACAUAUCACUGCUUUGCGUGUUUGCCUUACUUGCCUUUGUUCCUGAGAUUGCUGUGGUGUGCUUGUUUAUGUAUGUUGUUUAAAGGUUAAUAAAUUACAUUUUGAAAACUG